UACGUAGGGUGCGAGCGUUGUCCGGAAUUAUUGGGCGUAAAGGGCUCGUAGGCGGUCUGUCACGUCGAAAGUGAAAACUCAGGGCUCAACCCUGAGCCUGCUUCCGAUACGGGCAGACUAGAGGUAUGCAGGGGAGAAUGGAAUUCCUGGUGUAGCGGUGAAAUGCGCAGAUAUCAGGAGGAACACCAGUGGCGAAGGCGGUUCUCUAGGCAUUACCUGACGCUGAGGAGCGAAAGUGUGGGGAGCGAACAGG
rnacentral:rRNA from 1 species